UACAGAGGUCUCAAGCGUUGUUCGGAUUCAUUGGGCGUAAAGGGUGCGUAGGCGGCGCGGUAAGUCGGGUGUGAAAUCUUGGAGCUUAACUCCGAAACUGCAUUCGAUACUGCCGUGCUUGAGGACUGGAGAGGAGACUGGAAUUUACGGUGUAGCGGUGAAAUGCGUAGAUAUCGUAAGGAAGACCAGUGGCGAAGGCGGGUCUCUGGACAGAUAUUGACGCUGAGGUGCGAAAGCGUGGGGAGCAAACAGG
rnacentral:rRNA from 1 species